rnacentral:sRNA from 1 species
CAAAAAGACCGCGAAACCGUUAGGAGGGAAACGAAUGCAGCUGAAGUGGCUCCCCGUCAGGCUCAGGGGACGUCGGCGGGUCCCGCGGGUGGCGGUUGCUUCCGCGGCCGUGGGACGCCUGCCGACCGCUCUGCACUUCUGCGGGGGGCCGGCCAACGUCAGUUGCCUCUGGCCCAGGAGGGCGCUGUGGGCAGGUGGCUCCGUGCGCAUGCGCGGAGAGCUUAUAGCCCGGCGUCAGUGGCGUUCCGGAGAGCGACUGAGGAGAGUCUCAUGCGAGUUCAUCGCACGUCGCGGCGCAGGCCUCUCGAGGCUGGGCCGCUUCUCGUCGGCGGGUGGCCGAGACGUUCCACUGCGUGCAGUGGACGCCGACGGAUUGCCCUCCGGCGGGGAGGUCGGUCGCACCUUGCGUCGCAGUCGUUGGUGCCCGGAUGGCUGCAUCCGA